rnacentral:tRNA from 5 species
GCCGGCGUAGCUCAGUGGUAGAGCAGCUGAUUCGUAAUCAGCAGGUCGUCAGUUCAAUCCUGACCGCCGGCUCCA